rnacentral:rRNA from 1 species
UAGCGAGGCCCGGGUCUAACGGCGGACGGUAUACGGUGGGACGUGCCUUCACUACGGAUAGUCCGGGAAACUGGGUUAUACCGUAUACGCCUUCGGGGAAGAUUCGGUGGAGGAUCGGCCCGCGUCUGAUUAGGUAGUUGGUGGGGUAUGGCCUACCAGCCUACGAUCAGUACUGGUUUAGAGGAUGAUCAGCACACUGGGACUGAGACACGCCAGACUCCUACGGGAGGCAGCAGUGGGGAAUCUUAGACAAUGGGCGCAGCCUGAUCUAACCAUGCCGCGUGAGUGAUGAAGGCCUUAGGGUCGUAAAGCUCUUUCGCUGGGGAAGAUAAUGACGGUACCAGUAAAGAAACCCGGCUACUCCGUGCCAGCAGCCGCGGUAAUACGGAGGGGGUUAGCGUUGUUCGGAAUUACUGGGCGUAAAGCGCGCGUAGGCGGAUGGUAAGUCGGGGGUGAAAUCCGGGGCUCACCCCGGAACGGCUUCGAUACUGGCAGUCUGGAGUUCGAAGAGGUGAGUGGAAUCCGAUGUAAGGUGAAAUUCGAAUU